GCCCCCGGCGCCGCGGCCGCGGGGGGCGGGCGUCAAGCGGGUGCCCGGGGCCGCGGGGGUGGAGAGGAGCACGCGAGGCGCGGGGGCGUCCGGAGAGCGGGCGGGGGCAGGUCCCAGCGUCUCGGGGGGCCCGGGACUGGGCUCUGGGGGCCCAAGCUUUCCUGGACGCCCCAGGCCAUCAGCGGCGGGGGCGUGGCGGGGGACAGGCAGGAAGCCGGGCCUGGAGGCUGGCUUCUUUGCCGCGUGACCUUGGGGAGAGGCGCCUCCGGCCGCAGCUCCGCGGGUGUGUUUUUAUAACGUUUCCCAGCGUCGGCUCAGCUCCCUGCGAGCCGCGCCACGCCCCGUCCAGCCGGAGCCGAAGGAAUGACUGCCCCCGGGUCAGACACCGGGGCCCGCAAGGAGGAAGAGGCGGUUGGUUUCAAUACCGCGCAGCCGGCCCAGCCCAUGAGGCCUCGAGCAGCCUCAGUUUCCCUGUCCGUGGUGCUGAGGACGCCGGGGCCUGGAUGCGCGGGGCGGGCGGGGCGGCAUCCCGGUCGCUGCCCGGGACACUGGCCAAAGGGCACAGGGGGUGGAGCGGCGACAGGCAGGAGGGAUGAAGGAGAAGGAGGAAGCCGCCCUUGGAAGAUCCGCUGGGUCCUGGGAGGCUGUGGCCCGACUCUCCUCCCCCAGCCCCGCUGCCUGGGAAUCCGGCCCGACGGGAUUCCUGCGCCCCCUCGCUCGCGGUGGGAGAAGGCGCUGGGCGGAGCGGCAGGGAGAUGCAAGGUGAAGACAACAGCAUCACGAGAAGGAGAGAGCCUGCAUCCCAGAAUUACCCAGUGGAGGAGAGAUGCCUGACCAGGAAUGUCUACAAGGAUUUUGUGUGAGCCAGAAGCAAAGCUUUAAGUGUUCAGCUGCUGAGACUGGGGGCUAUUUGUUAUAGCAGCUGGCCUAGCCUAACACAUCACUCCCUUCCUCUGUUGUAGUCACCCCGCAAACCCCCACAGGGGCGGGGGGAAACCAACUGGCUCCUUUUUACCUGCCCUUCUCAACUGCCCCUGAAAGUCUGGAGGAUAAGUGGUUCAACUGGUUUUCCCUUAAAUUCAUGACCAUGAGCCAAGUGGGUCCUCACACGGUCCUACUGCCUGUCCCAGUAGGUUGCUCUUUCUUGUCUGAGCUGACCAACUUUACCAUCUUAAACGUUUUUAAGUGUACUGUUCAGGAAUGUUAAGUACUUCUCAUUGUUGUGCAACCAACCUCCAGCGCUCUUCUCCCCUUGCAGAACUGAAAGUCUGUGCCCUUUAAAAGCUCCCAUCCCCAUCCCCCAGCCCCUGGCACCCACCAUCC
rnacentral:lncRNA from 1 species